rnacentral:misc_RNA from 1 species
AGACAAGCAAAGGAGGUCCAUUCUCAACAGCUGUCCGAGUAUGUUCGUGAUGAUGACCAUUGUGAUGGUUUCUUGUCAUUUGGAUGUGGUUUAAAUGUGUUCUUUUCUUCGCAUAAGGAGCGUCUCUCACAGCCAUUCUUUUAGCGCGCAGGAUAUUUUGCCGCCUUUUCCACCAACAUGUUAUGCAUGUAGCGAUAACUACAACAGCGACACACGCCCCUAACCCAAUGCCGAUUUUGGCACCAAUAGUAA